GGGCACUGAUUUCCUCUGAGAUGUUGGUCAGACAUGGAGCCAUCCUACAGAUAAUAAUUAAGGACAACUGUUCACACACUUAAGGAAAGCAUUCCUUGGAUACUCAAAUCAAAGUGAGGAUGUGUGCACUCUAUUUGCUCCGAAGAUUUUCAUGUCAACACAAAGUAGUUUCAAGCUCAUCAGAGAAGAAAAGGUGUAAUCUCUAAAAGACAGUGAAAGAUUGUAUACUAUGGAGAUCGUAUACUACAUAUGCUUCAGAAAAUCCUCAUUCCCCAAGGCCCAGACUUCUCAAAUUAUUAACCUCAAUGACACAUCCAACAGCUCCAGUCAGGAGCUUCAGUCAGGGCUUCCCAUUAUGGAGAAGUGGUUUGUCCUCUUACAGCACUUAGAGUCAAACACAAAACCAAAGGAGAUGCAUUGAGAGCAUAAAGCAAGACAGGACUUAAAGCCACAGUGAAGAUGAGCUACCAGAAGAGCUCAGUGCACACAGAACCCAGAUUCCUUUCUGUGAAUGAGUUUGACAUCAGUGCUCAGGCUGAGUCAUAAGCCUAGGGGCCUCUGAGAGGUAGAGUUUUUUUGUUUUUUGUUUGUUUGUUUGUUUGUUUUUUGCCUAUACGAAACAGUGGGUUUGAAGUACCACCUCACCUUUGAGGCAAGGACAAACUCCUUCACGAGCUUGGAAGGCAAUGAAUCUGUUGUCUACUUCCAAGCUAUUGGCAGGAUCGUCUAAAGAAAUGAACAAGCUUGGCCUCUGGUGUGCUGGUGUGGGUGUUCCGAGCUCAGCCCCUUUGUUGGAAAUCAAUGUGGAGGUACCUCAAAAAGCUAGACAUAGGACUAUCAUGUGAUCAAGCCAGAACAUUUCCUGAGAAUAUUCUCAACAGACUCUAUAUUCUACUGUAGAUUUAUUUACUCAUUCAUGUUUAUUGCUUCUCUGUUCACAAUCACCAGGAAAUGAAAAGGUUUAAAAUGUCCCAUCACCUGAUAAAUGUGUAAUGAUACAUGGAAGAUUAUUCAACCAUAAAGAAAAAUCAAACU
rnacentral:lncRNA from 1 species